rnacentral:rRNA from 1 species
CCAGACUCCUACGGGAGGCAGCAGUGGGGAAUAUUGCACAAUGGGGGAAACCCUGAUGCAGCGACGCCGCGUGAGCGAUGAAGUAUUUCGGUAUGUAAAGCUCUAUCAGCAGGGAAGAAGAUGACGGUACCUGACUAAGAAGCCCCGGCUAACUACGUGCCAGCAGCCGCGGUAAUACGUAGGGGGCAAGCGUUAUCCGGAUUUACUGGGUGUAAAGGGAGCGUAGACGGCGAUGCAAGCCAGAUGUGAAAGCCCGGGGCUCAACCCCGGGACUGCAUUUGGAACUGUGUGGCUGGAGUGCCGGAGAGGCAGGCGGAAUUCCUAGUGUAGCGGUGAAAUGCGUAGAUAUUAGGAGGAACACCAGUGGCGAAGGCGGCCUGCUGGACGAUGACUGACGUUGAGGCUCGAAAGCGUGGGGAGCAAACAGGAUUAGAUACCCCUGUAAC